GGGGGAGGUGGGACGAGAACCAGCCGGUCGGCGGCACAUAGAGGGGCCACGGCUACGAGCGCUGCGGGGCUGGGUGGAUGCUCGGCGCGGCGCAACCGCCGCUUUGCGAAAGCCCGAAAGCUUCUUCACCCCUUCGCAGCAGGGCCCGGUCACCUUUGGGAUGGAGGAGGAGCCCCACGCCCAAGGACACUUCCACUGCUGGCACAGAGCGCGGGCUCCCCGCCACGCAGGCCGACAGCCGAUAACGAUGUUCCCCAUCUCUCCUCGGCAGGGAGGGAUGAAGUCAUGAGCACAGCCCUCCGAGCCGCUACCGCUGCACACUGGCUUGCUGGGAUGGACGGAUAGAAAGGGUCAUUCUGACUGGCACCGAUGUAUCACCCUGAGCUUUUCAUCUCCUUUUCCACAUCUGACUCACUUCGAUGCUCUGAUGGCAACAGCAGCGACACCCAGGUGGCAAGACACAAUAGGGAGGGGAAAAAAACAACAGUUAGACAUCCAGUGCCAACCUCCCCAGAUUUCUGCUACAAAAUCUAAAGGUAAAAACCUCCUGCAAGAGAUGACAGUUUUAGAGUCAAAAGCAGUUUUAGGCUCCAAAGCAUCAGUGGCGGAGCGGUUACUUGCAGGAUAACAUGGAACAACAAGGGACCAUCUCCAAUCCAUGAGCCUUACUGCCCUGUGAAUUGCAGGCGUGCCCCAAAGCGCUCUAGUUCCAUAGCAAAAGCCCCAAACUGUGCUCUAGUCCCACAGCAAAAGGAGGGUGGGAGUUUCUUGUAGCACACAGGAGCCAGUGCAGCAUGACUCAACUUGCAACAAGCAGGAAAGCUGAUCCUACCAAAUAGUUGCUUGGGGGCCUUGACGCACACAGCUGAAUUUCGGCAAGUUGAGAUUUAUGCUUUCACAUAUAACAGGCAUUCAAAAAUGGGGUGGCUUUUUGUGGUAUGUUCUUGUGGGAGAGCUGUUACCCUUGGAAACAAAAAUAGCGUGGCACUCUCCUAUGAGCCACCUUGCACUUGCUUACCUUGGGGGAGUUGCAGCGUGAGAGCUGACUUGCUGCAAAUUCACACCUAGCUCACCUCGAUUUGUUUGCGUGCUCAUGCUCUGAGGAUGUUGGGGACCGGUCAGCGUUUGCCUAUUGCAGAUGCAGGUCAUGGAGACAUUAGCUUUGGUCAGCUGGUGGCCAAACUGAUAACAGGCUGGUAGCAAGGCCAAGAGAUUGCAUGCUGAGAUAAGCGGCUCCCUCACCCUACGAUCAUCUGCAGGUCAGCACGACCCUACAGAGAUGCCCAUGACCAGCCCGUCCGUGGACAUGCACACAGCAGUUAAUUAUUCAUUAGUGUGAAAGAAGGACAAUUAAGGAGACUAUGGUAUGGCUGAAGGUAUCAUUAUGCUCCAGCGAGCACAGGGCAUUCCAAUGACGGUGGCUUUACCUUUUCCUCUGGAUGUACAUCCAGACAUAAGACAUAAGGGAGGUGGAAAGUCUUGGAACAGAAAACCAGCUUUUCCACCUGCCAGCUGCAGCAAGUGCCAGUCAACAGUGCUAUUUUCAUUUAAAGUCAGCCAGCUGGAGUGAGACAGAGUAAUCACACCAUCAGGAAGCUCACAGGGUUUAGAAUCUUCCAGACAGCACAACGAUCCUGGCACCUGGCAGAUAAUGGUACCAGUUAUGUGUCCUCCCCACUACUUUACAAGUCCCUUCCACUUGAUCAGUACAGAAUUACGUGACAGGCUGUGGGGCCCAGCCAGUACAGACGGUGCAAAAUUGAAAUUAUUUCUAGUGGUCUUAUAUUACUCCAAUUCCUGCCUUGCAGAAGAGCUCCUGACAUGCUGAAAUGGCAGAAAGACAUCCCUAACAUCACGCUGAGAUCCAGAGAAGGAACUAAGGGAAACGGAAAACCCCUCCACAUUUGAUCCACGGCAGGCCCUAAUGCAGAAAAGUCCUUUGGAAUUGAACUACAGGCUCGAGUACGGCCUCUCAUAAAACAUGAGCUGCCAGUGGCACUGCUGGUGGCUUUCUCAGAGGGAAGUCUGAAAAAUCAUAGAAGCCACAGAUGCCAGAUCCCAAAGGUCAGAGCAGAUGCAUGCUGGCUGGGCAGAGGACGCAGGUAUGCUCCCUUGAUGCUAGUCCCACAGAGGACCUGGGCCAGCAGCACCAUGGACCUUGCAACCUUGCACAGCAGGCUUGCAGCAACAAAGGAAUUGAAUGGGAAGGAUGAGAGCGCUUCUCUGCUCCCUUGGAGUCACCCAGGAAGGAAGCAGGGUGGAUCCCCGCCAUCAGCUGUUGCCUGAGCUACAUCAUUCCUUGCUUACUUCCAUGUUUCCUGAACUACUUUUCUUUUUCGUCCUCCACGCUGGGUUUUUACUUUAGAACACAGAAAAGGACAAUUUACUAUUUUUUUUAUUGUAAAAAACACAGUUCCCCAGAUUUAUAUAAAUAAGCCAUAUACGUAACAUACAAUUACGUUCAUUCCAUCCUCCAACACUGACAGCUUUAAAAGAAGAAACAGGCUAAAAAAGCAAGUCCAAAAGGACGUUAGGUUUCUGAUGACCAAGUGAUAUCUCACACGGCACCUCCUUCCCCUACCAGCCUCCGAACAAGAUGCUGAAAGUACACAGCACUUGCAACACCCCCAGGAACUGACAGGGAGGCAUUCAAGCUGUACGAAGAGUUCUCACCCACUCCCCAGGCAUCGACAGCCGCCUGUGUUUCAAUGCCAUCUCAGCGUGCAGUGGGUGAGAAAGGAGGGGGUAGCUUGCAUAGCAGCCUCCUACAUCCAGGCAGCUCAGCUGUCCUCCCAAAUCAAGCAGAAAAGGGUAAAACAAGCCUAAUUCCCCGCAGCUAACACCUCCACGGACAACCCAACGGGACACCCUUGACACAGCCAGUUCUGUGUGGUCAUUUAGAAGAGAGGAAGGUGGUGCUGUUAAGAGGGAGGAAAGAGGCACUGGUCAGAAGCGUACCACACACAGCUGGGGAGGCAGAGAAGAGAGAACACAAUGCAUAACAAGUGGGAGGAGAAAACACAGAACUAGAUAGCACCUUUUCUCUUCCUCUUCCCCCUUGUAGUGCUGCUGCAUGGCGUGUCAUGAGAUUACCUCUUCAACCACCUCCUUUUUGUUUAGGCUCAAACACCAAGGAGAGAGCCACAGACAGGUCAGAAAUCCCAUGAGCGAGGACAGACUUAGCAA